UACAGAGGUCUCAAGCGUUGUUCGGAUUCAUUGGGCGUAAAGGGUGCGUAGGCGGCGCGGUAAGUCGGGUGUGAAAUCUCGGAGCUUAACUCCGAAACUGCAUUCGAUACUGCCGUGCUUGAGGACUGGAGAGGAGACUGGAAUUUACGGUGUAGCGGUGAAAUGCGUAGAUAUCGAGAGGAACACUAGUGGCGAAGGCGAGACUCUGGACAGUUUCUGACACUGAUGCACGAAGGUCAGGGGAGCAAACGGG
rnacentral:rRNA from 1 species